ACACCUAGUGAGCAGCAGUUCUGAGGAAGGAAAUGCCUUGUUGAUGAGAGGGGUCAGAGGAGAAUAGCAGGACUGGUUGGAGCUGACAGAAAGGUUUGGGAUCUGCAACGUAAGAACACCCCUGGAGUGUAUUGCUCAAGGACACUUCAGCAGGGUGGAUCUAAACCAGAGCCUAACAACGAAAAAAAUGAAGCCAUAUAAAAGAAUUAGGCUCAUGUUCAAACUGGCAUGUGAACAAAGGAGGCCUUGGAUCCAGGUUGCCGUGGAGAGUGAGCACACAGCACGGCAUCUCUGAGCAGCAGUUGCCACCCCCCCACCCCCCCGUGGAGUUUCAGAUGGAGCUGUCCACAUACAGCACGCUACGGGUACAUGUGCAGUGUCGAGGAGUGGAGAUUCGAAGGGCCCGGGCUGUGCCGUGAUGCGCACAUCCGUGAGAGCUCAUGCUCCGUUAAUGUCCUGCAGUACGGAACAAUGAGCAUGACUUUCUCUCUGUGUCCCCUCUCCUUCACUGUCCUACUGUAAAAACUGCUGCUGUACCAGGACCCGCAGCAUUGUCUGAUUCUCCCCCCAGUAACCCUGAGAGAGAGAGUCAAUGCAGGGGAGCCUGUCACAGCCAAGCCUCUCAGAUCAUUUAUUAUUGAUUCUGCAGACAUGAGGUGGGUGGAGCAAAGAGGACAGAAAGAGACAGAGGAUGUGAGAAAAAGACCUAAACGUGAUGUAGACAGAAACAAUUAAAGAAACAACAAAGAAAAAGAAAGCAGCAUGUGACAAGGAAGUAGGAACAUCAUAGAUAAAUUAGUGAAACAGAAUAGUUGUGACACUUGAACAGACAGUUGGUGAAAGAAAGAUAGAGUUGCGGUUGGGUGUGUAAGGUUGUGUAGGGCAGGUAGCCUCAAAGCUUUGCCUUGUAGCAACACGCUCCCUGCCCCCCUGCGGGCUGUUGCGCCAGAGGCAGAAACAUCUUCACGUCGGCCCUCAUCAGCAGUGUUUUCCCCAGUCUUGGGUCACCUCACGGUCCAAUGUGAGGUGCAGAAGCUCUCCAGGGAGGCAACUGGCUGCACUCUGUCAAAACAUAGCAUGCCAGGGAGCAGAAGAUGGAGAGCGGGCUUUGUAAAGUCAACAUUUGGGUGUGGGUGCUGAUCCACAGGCUGCAAACACUCUACAGAUGAAUUUCUUUUUAUACACGAUGCUGUCAUUGUCCCACAUUAAAUUGUCCUCCUCCAUUUGUAUUAAACCAUUUGUUCCAAUAUGUGUCCCCUAAAAGCAUGAUAGAAUGAAUGUACAUGCUAGAUUUUCUACAAAGCUCCGAGCUGAAUGCUUGUAAUUAGGCCCUGAAGAUUUUUGCCUCCAAGCAGAAACACAUUUCCCAUCUCAUGUCUUUCAAUGGAGUGUUUUAUUAUCCAGCAACAUUUCCCAUAGGCCUCAAUAAAGUAGGAGUCUAAAUUAGUUUUUUACUCAUCCCUUCAUUUCUCCUCCUCUUCAGACUACCGUGUUAGUGUCCUUGUGUAAUUCAGAGCAACAUCACCUCAGUUGAUUAUGUUCAGUAUUAAAUUCCUUUUUAAAAAAAAAAAAAGAAAAACUUUCUCACACACAAAACCCUGUGUGAUUCAUGAACUUUUUUUCUUAUGUAGACAUCAUCUCUGGCAGGGGCAGUGUUCGAAGUGGGCUGAAAACACUUGUCACAUGUCAUGCAUAUGCGGCACAUGUAUGAAACACGUCAUAAAUGCAGUUAAUUGAUUGUAGUUGUGCCUGUGUGCUGUUGAUGUUUGAAGGAUCCAUGCUGACAAUCCUUCUCAAAAAGAAAACUUCACACAUGAGAAGCAUCAUUGCAGUGGCUGAAUAUUAAAUCGCUGGGAUCCAUAUUACAGUGUGAAGCAGAGCCAGCAGACCCAGAAUCUGUUUGGCAGUCUUGAGAGAAGUGCUGGCAGUACAGAGCCCAGGGCGCAGACAUCAAUCACACCGCCGCCCUGGACCCACCAAAAACCGACAGUGUCAAUGGUACUACCAUGGCCGCCAUCAAUCACUCCCUUCUGUGCAAUACACCUCUUGUUCUGAAAAUACAAUAAAUGCAUGUAAAAGCUA